rnacentral:antisense_RNA from 1 species
CUUCAACGAGCCCAGCAGCAGCGGCCGUUCGCGGUCCUGGCCGUAGGCGGCCAGCAGCGCCUGGGCCUC